AAGGUAAAAUCUGCCGUUGAG
rnacentral:siRNA from 1 species